rnacentral:tRNA from 1 species
GUGGGUAUAGCUCAAGUGGUAGAGCGCACGCUUAGCAUGCACAAGGUCCUGGGUUCAGUCCCCAGUACCUCCU